GGAUGAAGAACGCAGCGAAAUGCGAUAAGUAGUGUGAAUUGCAGAAUUCAGUGAAUCAUCGAAUCUUUGAACGCACAUUGCGCCCCUUGGUAUCCCGAGGGGCAUGCCUGUUCGAGCGUCAUUUCACCACUCAAGCCUGGCUUGGUGUUGGGCGACGUCCCCUUUGGGGACGCGCCUCGAAACGCUCGGCGGCGUGGCACCGGCUUUAAGCGUAGCAGAAUCUUUCGCUUUGGAAGUCGGGGCCCCGUCUGCCGGAAGACCUACUCGCAAGGUUGACCUCGGAUCAGGCAGGGAUACCCGCUGAACUUAAGCAUAUCAAUAAGCGGAGGA
rnacentral:misc_RNA from 1 species